GACAGAGUGGUGUAGUGGUUUGAGCAUUGGUCUGUGACUCUGGAGACCAGGGUUCGAAUCCCAUCUCUGCA